AAAACCAAUGCCCUUCGGGGCUCUUUGGUGAUUCAUGAUAACUAUACGAAUCGCACGGCCUUGCGCCGGCGAUGGUUCAUUCAAAUUUCUGCCCUAUCAACUUUCGACGGCUGGGUCUUGGCCAGCCAUGGUGACAACGGGUAACGGAGGGUUAGGGCUCGACCCCGGAGAAGGAGCCUGAGAAACGGCUACCACAUCCAAGGAAGGCAGCAGGCGCGCAAAUUACCCAAUCCCGACACGGGGAGGUAGUGACAAUAAAUACUGAUACAGGGCCCUUUCGGGUCUUGUAAUCGGAAUGAGUACAAUUUAAAUCCCUUAACGAGGAACAAUUGGAGGGCAAGUCUGGUGCCAGCAGCCGCGGUAAUUCCAGCUCCAAUAGCGUAUAUUAAGUUGUUGAGGUUAAAAAGCUCGUAGUUGAACCUUGGGCCCAGCCGGUCGGUCCGCCUCACCGCGUGCACUGACCCGGUUGGGCCUUUCCUUCUGGAGAACCGCAUGCCCUUCACUGGGUGUGCGGGGAACCAGGACUUUUAC
rnacentral:rRNA from 1 species